GACGUAGGGCGCGAGCGUUGUCCGGAUUUAUUGGGCGUAAAGAGCUCGUAGGCGGCUUGUCGCGUCGACUGUGAAAACCCGUGGCUCAACCAUGUGGUCUGCAGUCGAUACGGGCAGGCUAGAAUUCGGUAGGGGAGACUGGAAUUCCUGGUGUAGCGGUGAAAUGCGCAGAUAUCAGGAGGAACACCGGUGGCGAAGGCGGGUCUCUGGGCCGAUAUCGACGCUGAGGAGCGAAAGCGUGGGGAGCGAACAGG
rnacentral:rRNA from 1 species